rnacentral:lncRNA from 10 species
AAUAAGAAAACCAUCUGUGGCUCUCACACAUCAAUAGAGAGGUAUGACUCAAUUCAAUUUUUUUUAGAAAGGUGCAAAAUGUGUCUUAAAUGGCUUCUAAACAAGUUAGUGACUCACCUGUGUGGAACUUUCUGGAAAACAUUUUAAAAUCUCAUGCAGCAACUCCUCUAUGUUCUAACCCACUUGUAACAUAUGGAAAUAGUGCGGUUCUUUCUCCUAGUGUUGUCUUGAAAUAAAUCAUUAAUGCUGUCUCUAAAUGAAGCAGAGGCCAGGUUUCCCAGGUGUAUUUAAUUUUUUGAGGACAGUGUCUUCCGUAAAACCAAAGAAGGAAAAGCAUUUCACCGGUGAGGCAAAUCAGACUAGGUCACACUAUCAAUGAUCUGUCAUCACUGGAAUCUUCAGCCUGGGCAUCCUCCAUAUACAAACAGCAAUGAUUUGCCAUGUUCAAAGAGCAGAAGACCAUGAUGUUGAAAAUGAGAAAGUCAAAUAAAGAACACCUUGAAAAGAAAGUAUGAGUUGUAAAAAGCAUGCCAAGGCUGGGGAGCUCAGCUGGUAGACAACAGAGUUUAACUUCAGCCUUGACUUCUUGCCAUGUAUCAAGUGCAGCGUUAGUUUCAAGUACAACACAUAGAAUCAUCAUGUAGCAGAGUACAUCUGGAAUUCUUCCAGAGCAGUGAGAAGUUUAUUUGCACUGGAACUAGUAAAUAUCAUAUCUUCACCCUUAAAAAUAAUCAGGAAUAAAGCGUGAUGAAAAUGAAUGGGAAACUUCUCAUUUUUCUCUUAUGUAUCUGCUGUAAUUUUCUAUAAAUAACAUUCCAAAAGA